GAUGAACGCUGGCGGCGUGCCUAAUACAUGCAAGUCGAGCGAACAGACGAGGAGCUUGCUCCUCUGACGUUAGCGGCGGACGGGUGAGUAACACGUGGAUAACCUACCUAUAAGACUGGGAUAACUUCGGGAAACCGGAGCUAAUACCGGAUAACAUGUUGAACCGCAUGGUUCAACAGUGAAAGACGGUCUUGCUGUCACUUAUAGAUGGAUCCGCGCCGCAUUAGCUAGUUGGUAAGGUAACGGCUUACCAAGGCAACGAUGCGUAGCCGACCUGAGAGGGUGAUCGGCCACACUGGAACUGAGACGCGGUCCAGACUCCUACGGGAGGCAGCAGUAGGGAAUCUUCCGCAAUGGGCGAAAGCCUGACGGAGCAACGCCGCGUGAGUGAAGAAGGUCUUCGGAUCGUAAAACUCUGUUAUUAGGGAGGAACAAAUGUGUAAGUAACUAUGCACGUCUUGAUGGUACCUAAUCAGAAAGCCACGGCUAACUACGUG
rnacentral:rRNA from 1 species